rnacentral:rRNA from 1 species
UUUUAUGGAGAGUUUGAUCCUGGCUCAGAGUGAACGCUGGCGGCGUGCCUAAUACAUGCAAGUCGAACGAUGAAGCUUCUAGCUUGCUAGAAGUGGAUUAGUGGCGCACGGGUGAGUAAGGUAUAGUUAAUCUGCCCUACACAAGAGGACAACAGUUGGAAACGACUGCUAAUACUCUAUACUCCUGCUUAACACAAGUUGAGUAGGGAAAGUUUUUCGGUGUAGGAUGAGACUAUAUAGUAUCAGCUAGUUGGUAAGGUAAUGGCUUACCAAGGCUAUGACGCUUAACUGGU